CCUACGGGAGGCAGCAGUGAGGAAUAUUGGUCAAUGGACGCAAGUCUGAACCAGCCAUGCCGCGUGCAGGAAGACGGCUCUAUGAGUUGUAAACUGCUUUUGUACGAGGGUAAACGCAGAUACGCGUAUCUGUCUGAAAGUAUCGUACGAAUAAGGAUCGGCUAACUCCGUGCCAGCAGCCGCGGUAAUCCGGAGGAUUCAAGCGUUACCCGGAUUUAUUGGGUUUAAAGGGUGCGUAGGCGGUUGGAUAAGUUAGAGGUGAAAUCCCGGGGCUCAACUUCGGAAUUGCCUCUGAUACUGUACGGCUAGAGAGUAGUUGCGGUAGGCGGAAUGUAUGGUGUAGCGGUGAAAUGCUUAGAGAUCAUACAGAACACCGAUUGCGAAGGCAGCUUACCAAGCUACUUCUGACGUUGAGGCACGAAAGCGUGGGGAGCAAACAGGAUUAGAUACCCCAGUAGUC
rnacentral:rRNA from 1 species